CCCCCCUCCUCUAUUGGGAUGCUUUUUGGUGAACCCCAAAUCUCCCAUUCCCAUGGGGUGGGGGGGUCAGCACUAUCAGGCCCUACAGCCCUUCCCACUCCCAAGCCCUGGGGCUCCCCCCCGCCCCAGAGAGGGGAGGUGAUGUCUCCAUCCCAGACCAACAAUGGUGGGGGGGAGGAGAGCAAUGGAUGCUAUCACCUGUCCUGAGGGUCAUUAUGCCCUCCUCAGCCCCUAGGCUCCCCCCAACCAGGGCUGCUGAGACCAAGGGCAUGGGAGGACACUGGGAUCACUGCGCAGGCAGGGCUGGUGUGGGGGCAUCCUUCCCACCCCCAUUUGCAGAGGGUCCCAGUGGGAUGGGGGCUCAGGGGUCCCCAGGAGGGGAUGGGUAGGAAGAGCAGCAGUGCCUGUUCUUGCUCCCACCAUGGGGUGACAGCUUGACUAGGGGAGGGAAUUGCUGCUUGGGGAGCCACAGGCCAAGGCUGGCAUAGGGCAAAGCAAACAGUGGCCCCCCCCAUGCCAGGAGGAGGUAUGUGGCAGGAGACACAUCGGUGAACCCCACCAUCCUGCCUGCACAGGUCAAGGAGCAGGAUUGGGCCUGGAGGCCUCAGCAUGAUGUGAGGGUGGUAGGGCUGGACACCUGGGUUCCCUUCCCUGCUUCCUUUUGCCCCCCAGCCCAGCAGCCCUCCCAGCCUGGCAUGGGGUCCCCGCUCUCUGACUGCCCCCUCUCCCUUCAGCUCUGUCUCACCAUGUCGGUCUCCAAGCUGCAGGACGUGGAUGAGGUUUUUGAUUUUACCGCUGUGGUUCCAGAGACGCAGCGGCUCNNNNNNNNNNNNNNNNNNNNNNNNNNNCCAAGGUCAGCGCCCCCCGGCCACCCCGCCCCCGCCUGCGAGACAGCGCCAGCUCCACCGAGGGUGAAGAUGGGCCUGAGAGGAGGGUGAGCCCCACGGGCACUCGUGGAGGAGGGACCCUGGCCAAGCUGAUGGGGUGCUGGGCCCUGCCAUGACCAGGGCACCUGCAGGAUGGCCCAGGG
rnacentral:lncRNA from 1 species